CAAACGAGACGAAGAGGGUUUAGAGGAAGAGAGAGAAGAGCCAGAAGAGGAACGUAGUCAGGAAUCCUGGAGCCUGGGCGAUGAGAAGGAGAAGAGAUAUAGGCCUACCUAUCGGUACACCCCAAAGAAACACCACAAACGAGACGAAGUGGGUUUAGAAGAAGAGAGAGAAGAGCCAGAAGAGGAACGUAGUCAGGAAUCCUGGAGCCUGGGCGAUGAGAAGGAGAAGAGAUAUAGGCCUACCUAUCGGUACACCCCAAAGAAACACCACAAACGAGAUGAAGAAGACGAAGAGCGCAGUCAAGAGUCCUGGAGUCUGGGUGAUGAGAAAGAAAAGAGAGAGGAGGAUGAUGAGGAAAGAAAAAAGAGGAUCUGGAAACCCACCCAUCGGUACCACCACAAGAAGCACCACAAACGCAGUGAAGAUCCUUCAGAGGAAGAGGAGGAGGAGAAAGAUAAGAGAAUUUGGAAACCCACACACAGAUAUCACCACAAGAAACACCACAAACGAGAUGCUGACUCAUCGGACGAGGAAUCAGAGGAGAAGAGAUCAGAAGAGUCAGAGGAAGAGGAGGAAGAGGAUAGAGAGAAGAGAAUCUGGAAGCCCACACACAGAUACCACCACAAAAAACACCACAAACGUGAUGAGGAGCUUUCAGAAGAAGGGAGAGAGGAGCCAGAUGAAGAACGCAGCCAAGAGUCCUGGAGUCUGGGUGAUGGAAAGGAGAAGAGAGAUGAGGAUAUGAUGAGAGAUGAGGAUGAGAGAGAAAAGAGGAUUUGGAAACCAACUCACAGGUACCACCACAAGAAGCAUCACAAACGCAAUGGGGAUUCCUCAGAGGAGGAAGACGAGGAACAAAGGGGCGAUUCGGACGAACACGAGGAGGAGAAGAAGCAUGGAGAUGCCGAGGAGGACGAGAGACAGAGGGAUAGGCAGGAGGCUCUGAGGUACCUGGCAGAGAAGAGUCGUCUACUGGGGGAGGGCGAGGUGUAUGAGAAACGUUCUCCCUGGGCUUACAGAGGAUACUACCACCCCGCCUGGUGGAAGAGAAGCAUAGACCCACACACACCAUUGCAUAAGAUGGAGGAACUGGCGAAGUUGCUGUCCUAUAAGAAUCACCAGCUGGCCAGCCAAUCAGAGCUGGCAGACGAGGAAAAGAAGAGGAGCGUAUCUCUAACCCCAGAGGAGGAGAAGGAGCUGGAGAACAUAGCAGCUAUGGACAUGGAGUUACAGAAGAUAUCUGAGAAGAUGCAGGAGGACAGGAGUGAAUAGAUAAGACAGGCAGAGGCAUGCAGACAGGGAUGCUAAGAUACACAAGGUUAGCACACUGAGAUAGUAACAAAAGACUAGAGAGAGAGAUAGACUGACCCGUCAGUGUUCCGGACAAAAAACCACUAACAUCCAAGAGCCUUGCUGCAAAUUCUGCCGUGUUAACCUUUGUACCUGUGAAAUGC
ensembl:lncRNA